rnacentral:lncRNA from 1 species
ACCCAACCUCAAGCUAAAUCAACUACUUCAGAAAAUUAGAGAGCAAAAACAAGCCUCAGUCUUUUUUUAAAGUUUCCAUGGGUUCCAGUGUGCAGCCUUUGAAAAUCACUGGCAUGCACGGAGUAGUGAGACUUAGUGUCUAAUUCUAAUAUGUUGUAUUACAGGAAAAGUCUGACUCUAAUAUAGUGAGACAAGUAGAUAAGAAAUAGAGGAAUGCGUGUUAAAUAAUAACAAUGUUGGCAGUGAAGUCAGUGGAAAUGUAUGGCCGGAGAAACAUGUUAGCAUUGUGUACUUGUGAUUGGCUCCUUCAGUCCAGUUCUAUAACAUUUUGGAAAAAGAGAAAGAUGACUCACAGGUUAGGAAAGCAGUGGCAGUGAUAUGUAAGUGAUGCGCAGGACCUGCUUGGCCUGCAAGAAAGAAAUCAGCAAAAUCUGCUGUCUAUUCUUUACAGAAAUGACUCCUCAGUGUCUGCUCCUGAACUUGCCAUGUUUUGGAUCAAGAAUCGUCCCUAAGAAGUCAUUAUGGAUCACUGCUCUCAGGCCUUGCACUCAAAAUGCAGCCCCAUCAACCUCACCUGGGAAUUUCUUAAAGUACACACCUGUACUCCAGCUACUCCCAAGGCUGAGUAUCACAGGAAGAAAGAUGGAAAAAAGGAAGGAAGCAAAUAAGGAGAGAGAGCAGUUAUAUUAAAAAAUCAAAGAGAAGAUGAAGCUGGAUCCCAGGCCAGAAGACCUAAUGACAUACAGCUUUUAAUUGGCCACAGGCUCAUCCUGUGGAAAGGAG